AUUGAACGCUGGCGGCAGGCCUAACACAUGCAAGUCGAACGAGUGGCGGACGGGUGAGUCAUGUCUGGAAACAUGCCUGAUGGCGGGGGAUACCUACUGGAAACGGUAGCUAAUACCGCAUACCAUCGGAUGUGCCCAGAUGGGAUUAGCGAGUAGGUGGGGUAAAGGGUCACCUAGGCGACGAGCCCUAGCUGGUCUGAGAGGAUGACUAGCCACACGGGAACUGAGACACGGUCCAGACUCCUACGGGAGGCAGGAGUGGGGAAUAUUGCACAAUGGGCGCAAGCCGGAUGCAGCCAUGCCGCGUGUAUGAAGAAGGCCUUCGGGUUGUAAAGUACUUUCGGCGGGGAGGCGUUACCCGCAGAAGAAGCACCGGCUAACUCCGUGCCAGCAGCCGCGGUAAUAC
rnacentral:rRNA from 1 species